rnacentral:rRNA from 1 species
GACGAACGCUGGCGGCGUGCUUAACACAUGCAAGUCGAACGGAAAGGCCUGCUUUCCCUUGUGGAUUGCGGGUACUCGAGUGGCGAACGGGUGAGUAAUACGUGAGUGAUCUGCCCCCAACUUGGGUAUAAGCCUGGGAAACUGGGUCUAAUUCCCGAUAGGACUGCAGGGUGGUGCCUGUGGUGGAAAACGAUUUUCUAGUGGUUGGGGAUGAGCUCGCGGCCUAUCAGCUUGUUGGUGGGGUAAUGGCCUACCAAGGCGGCGACGGGUAGCCGGCCUGAGAGGGUGGACGGCCACAUUGGGACUGAGAUACGGCCCAGACUCCUACGGGAGGCAGCAGUGGGGAAUAUUGCACAAUGGGCGGAAGCCUGAUGCAGCGACGCCGCGUGGGGGAUGACGGCCUUCGGGUUGUAAACUCCUUUCGACCGCGAGGAAGCCACCUGGUUGGAAGGGUGGUGACGGUAGUGGUAGAAGAAGCACCGGCUAACUACGUG